rnacentral:lncRNA from 1 species
CUUUCUGCUUCCUGGAAUCCAGGCUGGCUUGGUGACUUGCCGACCACAGAACGCUGUGGAAGGGACAUUCUGGGGCUUCCCAUCUCCAACAUAAGAAGGCAGGACUUGCUUCUGUGAGGUACUGAGCCACCCGUCCCUGGAGGAAAGCAAGAACAGAGCAGAUCAGAGCCCAGGCAGACAUCUUGGAUGAUGGGGUACAUCUUGCCAUCCAGAGGCAAUGCUGGAGCGGGCAGUUGUCUGCGGGGAGGCCCUGGCUCACUCUGGGCCAAAUAACAGGACUGAUUGCAGCCUGCGAUGAAACAUCCUGUUUCUCCCAACCAGAAACAGGUAGAGAAGUCAGCAUUUUACAUGAUUCUGGGAGGGAAGAAAGGAGACAGGAACCAAGGAGCCUGAGUGGGGAUUUGCCCACCACUGGGCAGCCAGGCUCCCGUCAGGAAGGCUUUUCAGAGGGAGUGUUGGAAGGAGUCGUCGAGGAGUCUUCCUCACCCAGGAAGUCUUCCUCACCGGGUGAGCCCCAACCUGCUGGACCUGCUCAGAAUUUGCCCAACAGGGGAUCCUGGUUGACUGAGGUCUGCUAAUUCCAACUGGCCUACGCUAAAUUCUCCCAGAAUGUCUUCAUCAUCAAUGAAUCGCUUUCCACUGACACGACGCCUGGAAGAACAUAAACACUGUGAGGAUAAAUGCCAAUGAAAUAAUAAUAAAAUAAACUUUCUUUGGUGGCCAGA